CGCUCUGGUGGCCUAGUAGUUAGAGCAUCUGCCUCAGAUGCAGGAGAUCAUGAGUUUGAACACCAGCCGAGUCA